GAUGAACGCUGGCGGCGUGCCUAAUACAUGCAAGUCGAGCGAACGGACGAGAAGCUUGCUUCUCUGAUGUUAGCGGCGGACGGGUGAGUAACACGUGGAUAACCUACCUAUAAGACUGGGAUAACUUCGGGAAACCGUAGCUAAUACCGGAUAAUAUUUUGAACCGCAUGGUUCAAAAGUGAAAGACGGUCUUGCUGUCACUUAUAGAUGGAUCCGCGCUGCAUUAGCUAGUUGGUAAGGUAACGGCUUACCAAGGCAACGAUGCAUACACGACCUGAGAGGGUGAUCGGCCACACUGGAACUGAGACACGGUCCAGACUCCUACGGGAGGCAGCAGUAGGGAAUCUUCCGCAAAGGGCGAAAGCCUGACGGAGCAACGCCGCGUGAGUGAUGAAGGUCUUCGGAUCGUAAAACUCUGUUAGUAGUGAAGAACAUAUGUGUAAGUAACUGUGCACAUCUUGACGGUACCUAAUCAGAAAGCCACGGCUAACUACGUG
rnacentral:rRNA from 1 species